UUGGUAUGCACUGGCUUUACUGAUUCCUCCUUCUUGACGAACCGUGAUGUCAUUAAUUUGGUGUUGCGGGAAAUCAGGACUGUUACUUUGAAAAAAUUAGAGUGUUUAAAGCAGGCUAACGCUUGAAUACAUUAGCAUGGAAUGAUGAAAUAGGACGUUAAUCCUAUUUUGUUGGUUUCUAGGAUCGACGUAAUGAUUAAUAGGGAUAGUUGGGGGCAUUAGUAUUCAAUUGUCAGAGGUGAAAUUCUUGGAUUUAUUGAAGACUAACUACUGCGAAAGCAUUUGCCAAGGAUGUUUUCAUUAAUCAAGAACGAAAGUUAGGGGAUCGAAGACGAUCAGAUACCGUCGUAGUCUUAACCAUAAACUAUGCCGACUAGGGAUCGGAUGAUGUUAUUUUUAAUGACUCAUUCGGCGCCUUACG
rnacentral:rRNA from 1 species